rnacentral:rRNA from 3 species
AGACCCGAAACCCGGUGAUCUAGCCAUGGGCAGGUUGAAGGUUGGGUAACACUAACUGGAGGACCGAACCGACUAAUGUUGAAAAAUUAGCGGAUGACCUGUGGCUGGGGGUGAAAGGCCAAUCAAACCGGGAGAUAGCUGGUUCUCCCCGAAAGCUAUUUAGGUAGCGCCUCGUGAAUUCAUCUCCGGGGGUAGAGCACUGUUUCGGCUAGGGGGCCAUCCCGGCUUACCAACCCGAUGCAAACUGCGAAUACCGGAGAAUGUUAUCACGGGAGACACACGGCGGGUGCUAACGUCCGUCGUGAAGAGGGAAACAACCCAGACCGCCAGCUAAGGUCCCAAAGUCAUGGUUAAGUGGGAAACGAUGUGGGAAGGCCCAGACAGCCAGGAUGUUGGCUUAGAAGCAGCCAUCAUUUAAAGAAAGCGUAAUAGCUCACUGGUCGAGUCGGCCUGCGCGGAAGAUGUAACGGGGCUAAACCAUGCACCGAAGCUGCGGCAGCGACACUGUGUGUUGUUGGGUAGGGGAGCGUUCUGUAAGCCUGCGAAGGUGGCCUGUGAGGGUUGCUGGAGGUAUCAGAAGUGCGAAUGCUGACAUAAGUAACGAUAAAGCGGGUGAAAAGCCCGCUCGCCGGAAGACCAAGGGUUCCUGUCCAACGUUAAUCGGGGCAGGGUGAGUCGACCCCUAAGGCGAGGCCGAAAGGCGUAGUCGAUGGGAAACGGGUUAAUAUUCCCGUACUUGGUGUUACUGCGAAGGGGGGACGGAGAAGGCUAUGUUGGCCGGGCGACGGUUGUCCCGGUUUAAGCGUGUAGGUGUGUGUUCCAGGUAAAUCCGGUUCACUUUAACACUGAGGCGUGACGACGAGGCACUACGGUGCUGAAGCAACAAAUGCCCUGCUUCCAGGAAAAGCCUCUAAGCAUCAGGUAACAUCAAAUCGUACCCCAAACCGACACAGGUGGUCAGGUAGAGAAUACCAAGGCGCUUGAGAGAACUCGGGUGAAGGAACUAGGCAAAAUGGUGCCGUAACUUCGGGAGAAGGCACGCUGACACGUAGGUGAAGUGAUUUACUCAUGGAGCUGAAGUCAGUCGAAGAUACCAGCUGGCUGCAACUGUUUAUUAAAAACACAGCACUGUGCAAACACGAAAGUGGACGUAUACGGUGUGACGCCUGCCCGGUGCCGGAAGGUUAAUUGAUGGGGUCAGCGCAAGCGAAGCUCCUGAUCGAAGCCCCGGUAAACGGCGGCCGUAACUAUAACGGUCCUAAGGUAGCGAAAUUCCUUGUCGGGUAAGUUCCGACCUGCACGAAUGGCGUAAUGAUGGCCAGGCUGUCUCCACCCGAGACUCAGUGAAAUUGAACUCGCUGUGAAGAUGCAGUGUACCCGCGGCAAGACGGAAAGACCCCGUGAACCUUUACUAUAGCUUGACACUGAACAUUGAGCCUUGAUGUGUAGGAUAGGUGGGAGGCUUUGAAGUGUGGACGCCAGUCUGCAUGGAGCCGACCUUGAAAUACCACCCUUUAAUGUUUGAUGUUCUAACGUGGACCCGUUACCCGGGUUGCGGACAGUGUCUGGUGGGUAGUUUGACUGGGGCGGUCUCCUCCUAAAGAGUAACGGAGGAGCACGAAGGUUGGCUAAUCCUGGUCGGACAUCAGGAGGUUAGUGCAAUGGCAUAAGCCAGCUUGACUGCGAGCGUGACGGCGCGAGCAGGUGCGAAAGCAGGUCAUAGUGAUCCGGUGGUUCUGAAUGGAAGGGCCAUCGCUCAACGGAUAAAAGGUACUCCGGGGAUAACAGGCUGAUACCGCCCAAGAGUUCAUAUCGACGGCGGUGUUUGGCACCUCGAUGUCGGCUCAUCACAUCCUGGGGCUGAAGUAGGUCCCAAGGGUAUGGCUGUUCGCCAUUUAAAGUGGUACGCGAGCUGGGUUUAGAACGUCGUGAGACAGUUCGGUCCCUAUCUGCCGUGGGCGCUGGAGAACUGAGGGGGGCUGCUCCUAGUACGAGAGGACCGGAGUGGACGCAUCACUGGUGUUCGGGUUGUCAUGCCAAUGGCACUGCCCGGUAGCUAAAUGCGGAAGAGAUAAGUGCUGAAAGCAUCUAAGCACGAAACUUGCCCCGAGAUGAGUUCUCCCUGAGACUUAGAGUCUCCUGAAGGAACGUUGAAGACGACGACGUUGAUAGGCCGGGUGUGUAAGCGCAGCGAUGCGUUGAGCUAACCGGUACUAAUGAACCGUGAGGCUUAACCUUACAACGCCGAAG